UACGAAGGGGGCUAGCGUUGCUCGGAAUCACUGGGCGUAAAGCGCACGUAGGCGGCUUUCUAAGUCAGGGGUGAAAUCCUGGAGCUCAACUCCAGAACUGCCUUUGAUACUGGAGAGCUAGAGUCCGGAAGAGGUGAGUGGAACUGCGAGUGUAGAGGUGAAAUUCGUAGAUAUUCGCAAGAACACCAGUGGCGAAGGCGGCUCACUGGUCCGGUACUGACGCUGAGGUGCGAAAGCGUGGGGAGCAACAGG
rnacentral:rRNA from 1 species